CCUACGUGUGGCAGCAGUGGGGAAUAUUGGACAAUGGGCGAAAGCCUGAUCCAGCCAUGCCGCGUGUGUGAAGAAGGCCUUCGGGUUGUAAAGCACUUUCAGUGGGGAAGAAAGCCUUGGGGCUAAUACCCUCGAGGAAGGACAUCACCCACAGAAGAAGCACCGGCUAACUCCGGCCAGCAGCCGCGGUAAUACGGAGGGUGCGAGCGUUAAUCGGAAUUACUGGGCGUAAAGCGCGCGUAGGCGGUCUGAUAAGCCGGUUGUGAAAGCCCCGGGCUCAACCUGGGAACGGCAUCCGGAACUGUCAGGCUAGAGUGCAGGAGAGGAAGGUAGAAUUCCCGGUGUAGCGGUGAAAUGCGUAGAGAUCGGGAGGAAUACCAGUGGCGAAGGCGGCCUUCUGGACUGACACUGACGCUGAGGUGCGAAAGCGUGGGUAGCAAACAGGAUUAGAUACCCCAGUAGUC
rnacentral:rRNA from 1 species